GUGGGGAAUCUUGCGCAAUGGGCGAAAGCCUGACGCAGCGACACCGCGUGAGGGACGAAGGCCUUCGGGUUGUAAACCUCUUUCGGCAGGGACGAAGCGAACGUGACGGUACCUGCAGAAGAAGCUCCGGCUAACUACGUGCCAGCAGCCGCGGUAAGACGUAGGGAGCGAGCGUUGUCCGGAUUCAUUGGGCGUAAAGAGCGCGCAGGCGGUUUGGUAAGUCGGAUGUGAAAGCCCGGGGCUCAACCCCGGACCUGCAUCCGAUACUGCCCGACUAGAGGUAGGUAGGGGAGAUCGGAAUUCCUGGUGUAGCGGUGAAAUGCGCAGAUAUCAGGAGGAACACCGGUGGCGAAGGCGGAUCUCUGGGCCUUACCUGACGCUCAGGCGCGAAAGCUAGGGGAGCGAACAGGAUUAGAUACCCUUGUAGUCC
rnacentral:rRNA from 1 species